AAGUCGUAACAAGGUUUCCGUAGGUGAACCUGCGGAAGGAUCAUUAAUGAAGUUUGGGCUUCGGCCCUCUCUCUUCUAAAACACUUGUGAACUUACAUCGUUGCUUUGGCAGGUCUCCCGACGAGUUUCAAGCUUGGAGGGUUAGAUCGAGAGAUGCCUGCCAAAGACAUUCAAUAAAACCCUUUUUUAUAUCGUCUGAUUUUUGUUGUAAACAAAAUUAAAAUAAAACUUUCAACAAUGGAUCUCUUGGCUCUG
rnacentral:misc_RNA from 1 species